UACGUAGGGGGCUAGCGUUGUCCGGAUUUAUUGGGCGUAAAGAGCGUGUAGGCGGCCAUGUAGGUCCGGUGUGAAAACUCGAGGCUUAACCUCGAGAUGUCAUCGGAAACCAUUUGGCUAGAGUCCGGAAGAGGAGAGUGGAAUUCCUGGUGUAGCGGUGAAAUGCGCAGAUAUCAGGAAGAACACCCGUGGCGAAGGCGGCAUCCUGGACCGGUAUUGACGCUGAUGCGCGAAAGCCAGGGGAGCAAACGGG
rnacentral:rRNA from 1 species